GGGGGGGGGGGGGGGGGGGGCUGGGGGGGGCGGGGCGGGGGGAGUCUUCGGCGUUAGUGGCGGGCGGGUGAGUAACACGGGGGAACGUGCCGUUUGGUUCGGAAUAACUGAGGGGAACUUGUGCUAAUACCGAAUGUGCCCUUCGGGGGAACGAUUUAUCGCCAUUAGAGCGGCCCGCGUCUGAUUAGCUAGUUGGUGAGGUAACGGCUCACCAAGGCGACGAUCAGUAGCUGGUCUGAGAGGAUGACCAGCCACACUGGGACUGAGACACGGCCCAGACUCCUACGGGAGGCAGCAGUGGGGAAUCUUGCGCAAUGGGCGAAAGCCUGACGCAGCCAUGCCGCGUGAAUGAUGAAGGUCUUAGGAUUGUAAAAUUCUUUCACCGGGGACGAUAAUGACGGUACCCGGAGAAGAAGCCCCGGCUAACUUCGUG
rnacentral:rRNA from 1 species